UUGGGGAUAUAGCUCAGUAGUUAGAGUGCUUGCCUUGCAUGCACAAGGUCCUGGGUUCAAUCCCCAGCACCAAA
rnacentral:tRNA from 1 species